rnacentral:misc_RNA from 1 species
GAAAUGCGAUACUUGGUGUGAAUUGCAGAAUCCCGUGAACCAUCGAGUCUUUGAACGCAAGUUGCGCCCGAAGCCAUUAGGCCGAGGGCACGCCUGCCUGGAUGCUCACAUCGUGUACAACGAGCGAAAAAGCGUUCCAUCGAGCGGUUGGCUGGUGACUUUGUUCUCCUUCACCGUCUUGAUUGUGUGCGUGCUCGUUUCACAUUGGACUCAAACCUUUUUUGAAGGAAAUUAGUUUGUUUCAACUGACUUGACUUUUUUUAGUUGAAGCAAAACAAACGAACCCUUCAACCUCAAAUCAGGCGAGGCUACCCGCUGAAUUUAA